rnacentral:lncRNA from 1 species
AAAAAAAAGUUAGCAGCCAGAAAUUCGCAGGUUUUCAAUGCUCAGCGAAGAACACAAAUAUCGUCCUUACGUUACACCAAAAUCUAUGGCUAAAUCCUCCACAACGUGCUUGAAACCAUUUAACAUAGCAUCAGGGAAAUCAUACUCCACAUCUGCAAGAAUAAAAUAAAAUGGAUCAAUCUGGGAACCAAGCAACAACAGGCCAGAGCGUAAGAAAUGAAAUGAAUGGCAUUGAAAACUACGAUUUCGUAUAUAACUGAUAUGCAAGAAGGCUACUAUAAUACAAAUAAUUAAUUACAUCUAAUGUGGAUCUUAUUGACUUCUCAUUGCUCAAGAAAAAAAACAAUCACCAUUUUUAGUCACCUGUACUUCAAAACACAUUAUUUCACCAGAUAGAUGGGCACAGAUUAUCCAUGAUGAAAGUGUCAUUAUGACAUGAAUGCACAAAGACAACAGAAGCAAAUUAUGUAAGCUUCCCACUAAUUUUAUUAUUUUUACACAAAUGAAAUACUCAGCAGAUGUUAUUAUUUCUUCUCAGUUAAAUUGAGAGAAAUAUCCAAUGAAACUUGAGGGAGAAAAAUGAGGAUAUGUGACCCACUGAUAGUCUGCUCGCCCGAGCUAUUGGUGGAAUUUACUAUUGUGGCUAUAAAUAGUUACGGAUUUGAUAAUAGUAUAUUCUGAUAGUUGCUAUGAAAACUCUAUGAAGGCAAACUACCAACAAACUCUAUGAAGGCAAACUACCAACAACGCGUUCAACUCUAGAAGAAAACUGGAAAAUUUGAGGGACAAAGCAAAAACUUUAUGUUGGCGGCAAUACUCCUCUAAAUGGCAUAUACUGUCAGACUCUAUUUUGUGCUGAAGAUUCAGAAACCGAAAUCUGAUAAGUAGUACAAUCCAGGAAAAAACAACGAUCUUUUAAUUACAAAGAAUACAUUUAACUGAAGUUUAGGGUUCAUGAGCAACAACAAUCUAGAUUCCUGUGUCCCUACAGUAAUACAUAUAAAUGAAGCACUCUCGACUCUAGUGUAAAAACUGAAAAAUAUAAAUGGGAUCUCUACAGUAAUACAUAUAAAUGAAGCACUCUAGUGUAAAAACUGAAAAAUAUAAAUGGGAUCUCAGAAGAAAGCUAAGCAGUGGUGAGGUCGAAUAUGCAAACUCAAUAUAGAAAUCAACAUUUAUUUUAGUCGACAAAUAUCCAACUGAUGAUUGGAAAUUGUUGUGAGUCCACUUAUUUCUAGCAAUUGGUGUGAUGUGUAGGAUUAAUCAGCUAAAACACACGGUGGGGGCCUACUUGACCAGCUUUCCAGCAAGCAUCGCAUCUUCCGCAUCCUGGACGCGUUCAGUACUCAGUCGCGGGUUAAGCAUUUAAUCAGAACUUCUUGAAACAAUAAGAUAUCAAGUAUUCUCCCUAUAAUUAUUCAAGGAAUGCCCGUUGAGCAGUUAAUACAGAAUGCACAUCAAACUACAGUGCAUCGGUAGUAUAUGACAAAUAAAGGCGCGUGCAUAAUCUGGAAGACAACCAUGCUAUCAUAGUCAUGAAGCAGGGAAGACAACAUAUGAAAUCUGAACUCACAUCAUUAUAAUGUAUAUGCUUUGCUUUCUUCUUUCUUCCAUGUCCUGUAUUCAGCUCUUCCACAAGUUCCUCUUCAUCUUUCACUUCAACAAAUUUCUGCUGAACCAAAAGAAAACACCACCAAUGUCAACAAUCAAGAUGUAAUAAAAAAAGCUGUUCAAUACACACUAAGACAUCGCCAACAUACUCUGCGAUCUGAUGCAUCUUUUCAAGUAGAAAUUCAGAAUAGUUUGUUAGCAGCUUGUCCAACGUACUGAACCAUUAGUAGAAUGCAACAGAGAGAAAAGGUAGGCAUAACAAAUAUAGCAGAAUGAGCAGGUUACGACACUAUAUUGGUUGAAUGUCGCAAGCAGCUAAGCUUUGCUCCUAGUGGUGACGAUUCUGAUGAUGUUUUCAUCACCACCAUAAGCCUUAUGCUGAAUCUUCUCAUGCAGAGUAAUCUGGCUUCUGAAUGUGCUUACCUUGUGUUGACCUCUGGUUCCUCAUAUCGCUAAGAGUUUACAAAGUGGCACCAAAAGCUGAAAAAAAAGGAAGACGGUUUAGUUAUCCAUCUACCAAAUAUUUUUUCAUAAAUAAACGGCAGUAAUAUGGACGGGAGUGUCAAAAUAAAUUUGAAGUUAACUCUUAACUGCUUUUUAUCCCGAAAAUGAUUGCAGUCAUCGCCAACCAAAAACAAUUUGCGCUACCUAGAUUAUAAACCUGCAGCCACAUAAAACAAAAUUAAGAUUUGCAUCAAUCAAGGGUUCUUAACAACUCAAAAUCAGCACCCAAGGAAUUGUCAGUAUCGAAUGAGCCAAGUCUCUUUUUGAAAUCCGAAGCCUCCCCCUCCUCCUCCCUCCCUCUCUCCCACCACUGACUUCUCCUUCAAUCACAGCAUCCCCGGCACCCCCAUCUUCCUCGCCCCAAAUCCCAAUGAAUCUCGCGCCGCAUCAAGGGACGCAAGAAUCGAAUCCCCAAGUAUAUUCAUCAACAAUCCGGGAAGAAACUCCCGGCCCCGGUGGUCCGGCCAUGUACACGGACCCGCUGCUCCCCACCACCGCGCGGCUGGCUGUCCACCCGUUGUCGGAACACACGCCGGUCCCCAACAUCGAUGCGACACCUUCCUUGUGCUGCCCAUCCCCGGCAUCCUCCUACAAAGACCACCUCAUCUUCAGGCCCACCACCCAUCGCCGCCACCCUCGCCUGGCUGGAGAAGUAGACCGGCCGUCGCGUAGAUCGGCCGGCGGCGGCGCCGCCCUACCCAAACGCAUCGAACAAGCCCGUGCUCGUAUGUGUUGCCCGCUCGUGUUUCCUCUUUUUCUCAGAUUAGACACUUUAAAAAGGACUGCAUGUUGAGCCAGCGCCAGCAUGCAACCGCUCACCUGGAUUUUCUCUCAACAAUCAACAAUACACAAUGAAUUCAGCAACCACCAUGAAUCAAGUCCCUGAUGGCGAGUUCAACAACACAUAUAACAACUAACACGAAUUACUCAUCAAUUAAGAACCAUUAAUCGAAUUCAGCAGCACAUACAGAUGCCUGGCCCACGCCCCUCCUGCUUCCAACUCCAUUGCAAGUGGUGAAUCAUGAAGAAAAAAAAUUGCAUCACCGGAACAGAGUGGAAGGGAAGGAGGGAUGGGGUUUUGAGGAGUUACCAUUCCUGUCGCCAGAGAGGAAGCUGCGUCCAUGUAGGCGAUGAAUAUGGCGCCGGAGGUGUGGAGGAAGAUGAGCAGGAGCGUCCGCUAGGGUUCGGAGCCGCCAUCGUCACUCUGCGAGGAGCUCGUGGUGGAGCCAGUUAUCCGGCUAUGGCGGGAACGCCAUGGCCGCCCUGCCUCCUCUCUUCUCACGACUGCGGCUAGGCGCUCGCACCACCGUGGCCGUGGAUCCGCGAAUCCCGCCGCCAUGUCGAGCUGGAACCCCACGUGCUUGGUCUGGAUCCAACCGUGGCGGGAGCGACAUGGGCUCGCCUCUCUAUAAGGGGGAAGGGAAGGGAAGUGAUAGGAGGGGAGGGGAGGGGAGGUCGCCGGUGCGGAGAGGCCGGCGGCAGAGGGGUGGCGGCGUCCCCUGAUGUAGCCGGGGUCGAGGGGGAUUUGGGAACGCUCGCGUGGAUAAGACAGAACAAUGGAGCGCGGGUUGAAUACUAAGAAGUGUAGGGUUCUUUUUGCAAAAAUGAAACGUUUUCUCACAUAUCCACUUAAAGUAGGACUGCGGGUUGAAUAGCAAGAAACACAGGGACUUUUCUGCAAAUUUCCGCGAUGACGUACGGCCAGAAGCAAUCGCUGGUUUAUAUAUAUAUAUAUAUAUAUAUAUACUAGCAAAAGAGCCUGUGCGUUGCAACGGAGAAAAAAUCACAUGUCCGUAAGCAUAUAUGUGUCAGCAUGUUUGAAGGAAUUGUAGUAGGGAAAUGUACAUACUUCUAGCCAAAUUGACAAUGAUCACUGAUGCACUUGCUAGGUUGCUUGCUCCGAAAAGCACCUCCUUGCGCCAUGGACGCCAACAUUUGAGUUCCUGGACCGGAUUCACCGAUGAUUGAUAGUGUCUCUAUCUUGCACAUGGUUCCGACUCCGCCCUAUCUGUAUCGCCC